GACGAACGCUGGCGGCGUGCUUAACACAUGCAAGUCGCACGAGUGGCGAACGGGUGAGUAAUACGUGAGUACCCUGCCCUCUUUUUGGGAUAAGCCUUGGAAACGGGGUCUAAUACCGGCUACAGGGGUAUGGGCUCGCGGCCUGUCCGCUUGUUGGUGGGGUGAUGGCCUACCAAGGCGGUGACGGGUAGCCGGCCUGAGAGGGUGACCGGCCACAUUGGGACGGAGAUACGGCCCAGAGUCGUACGGUGUGCAGCAGUGGGGGAUAUUGCACAAUGUGCGAAGGCCUUAGGCAGCGACGCCGCGUGGGGGAUGAAGGCUUUCGGGUUGUAAACCUGUUUCGCUAGCGAACGGGUAGGUGGAGAAGAAGCGCCGGCUAACUACGUGCCAGCAGCCGCGGUAAUAC
rnacentral:rRNA from 1 species